CCUACGGGCGGCUGCAGUGGGGAAUAUUGCACAAUAGGCGCAAGCCUGAUGCAGCCAUGCCGCGUGUGUGAAGAAGGCCUUCGGGUUGUAAAGCACUUUCAGCGGGGAGGAAGGCGGUGAGGUUAAUAACCUCAUCGAUUGACGUUACCCGCAGAAGAAGCACCGGCUAACUCCGUGCCAGCAGCCGCGGUAAUACGGAGGGUGCAAGCGUUAAUCGGAAUUACUGGGCGUAAAGCGCACGCAGGCGGUCUGUCAAGUCGGAUGUGAAAUCCCCGGGCUCAACCUGGGAACUGCAUUCGAAACUGGCAGGCUAGAGUCUUGUAGAGGGGGGUAGAAUUCCAGGUGUAGCGGUGAAAUGCGUAGAGAUCUGGAGGAAUACCGGUGGCGAAGGCGGCCCCCUGGACAAAGACUGACGCUCAGGUGCGAAAGCGUGGGGAGCAAACAGGAUUAGAUACCCGAGUAGUC
rnacentral:rRNA from 1 species